GGGCUCCGCCGCAGGAGGACGGCCGUGUGCCCCGGGGAGGCUCGCUCCCCGCGGGCGAACGCUGGGCCUCGGGAGACCCACAGCUUUCAAGGUGAAGCACCUGGAAAGGCGGAAACCGGUGGUCCGGGUACCUCGGCCGGUUGUAGCCAACGUGGCCACGCUUGAGGAGCGAGUUUUGCCUCUCCCUGUGCUUCCUUUAAAGCCGGGUAUGGCGCACUUACUGCUAACGUGAAAGCCUUUGUAAAGGCGGAUAGCUGUGCUUGCUAUCCUGCCGUGGCUCAGUCUCGAGACCAGCGUACCAAGUGCUGGAGCAUGGGAUUUGAGCUUGUUAAAAUACGGGCAGUCCGGGCCCGGACCGUGAGUAAGGGCUCUCUCAAAAGAUUUCUAAAACAUUCCAAACGGUAGCUAAAUUGAACAAGCGAGGAAAAACGGAAGGAAAAGGUCUCACUGAAGAAUACUUGAGAGCAGGGAUCUCUUGUGGUAUGUGACUUUUCUGAAAGGAUUGCUUGGCGCUGUGAUGACCAGAUUAUAAUAAAUAAACUACCCCCGCGUUUAUUCCAGGACCAUGAAACUGCUGUUCAUAAGGUAGUUAGGGCCAACGCGUGGCUUCGAAGUGGCGCUCACAGAAACAGAUUGCUGUGCUCGGCUAUUCAAGAUGUCGUCCUGGCCGAGGCGGCUGUGCAGCCUGAGGACGCCCCUUCAGAGCCUGGGGGCCCUAGUCAGGUGCCCUGGGAUUCUUGACGUAGUGCCGCCCAACAGCGCUCCGAGAACGGAAUGCCUUAGCCGGCUAAUUCAUUAGGAGAAAGAACGCCUGAGAGUGAGGCAGGGCCGCAGUGCUAGACUGUGACAUCCGGAAGCCUUCAACAGCAGAGAUGGAGAUCUGGUGCCUUCUGACCUCCAGGAGCAUGAGGCAGGCACUUGGUGCACAAACACGCAGAAUGUGGCACAAUGACAACCGUGAGGAUGAAGCCACCUUAAGUGAUAUGCUAGAGAUGGAGGAAGACAGAAUGUGGGUCCCUGUGACGCUGUGGAGCUGUAGAAGCCACGGGCUGCUUCAUUGGCUUGAGGACAUUAAUAAUAAACUCAGUCGCCAGUCGGUGAAGAGAACCAGAGCGUUUCGCCGUGGUGUCCUUUAACCACGAGUGAACCUGGAUUUGAAUUCUUGACUUCUCUCUCCUCCUGCUCUUCUGUUGUCCUCUGUCGUGAGUCCAGCUCUGCUUGCUGCUGCUGUCCCUGCGUCUGCGUGCCCGUGUUGGUUUCUGACAAAGUGCUUUGCUCUCUCUCUCUCUCUCUCUCUCUCUCUCUCUCUCUCUCUCUCUCUCUCAUUGACCAGCACAGAAAGCAUCACCCAGGAAAGGAAUGAAGGUACUUCACAGGAAUCACUGAGCAGUGAAUUACGUCACUGACCCAGAUAACAUUUUAUCAGGCAACAUCCAUAUGCUGUUUCAGCAUUGUGGUGGACAUUGGUUUUUUAAAGUUCUUUCUGCCUGUUGCUGUUUUCAGCAUUUAUUACCAUCACGUGCACGCACUCGUGUGCACGCGCACACACAUUAUCCACGGAUGGGACAUUACCCGUGGAUCAGAGCAUGGAAGAGUGUAUAACAGAAGAUUUUGGUUAUGAGAAAUGAUUAUACGGGAGAUCCAAGGCAAGGGAGUUUGCCAGGUUAAACUGGCUGAGCACCCAGCGGAACAUGCCUCAAGGCGAAUUACUAAUCUGGCUGUGAAAUGGAGCAAAAGUUGCAGUCUACCGUAUUGCCACAGCCUACCUAGCUGUGGAUUUCUCGUUAUAAAAUAAAACUUUAGGUAUUUGGGCCGUGUGUGCACACACACGAGAGUGCACACAUGUUCUGUCCUUUGUUGCUGGUUGAACUUACUCGGUGUGUUUACUGUGCUCACACAUGUCCUGUCAGCACUGGAGAGAGCAGAAGCAGGGGUGGACUCACGGCCAGGUUGGCUGCACAGUGAGUUCUAGGCCAGCGGAGACCACAUACUGAGACUUUUUUCUUUUUUAAGUAGCCCUGGCUGUCCAGAACUCACUGUGUAGACCAGGCUGGCCUUGAACUCAGAGAUCCACCUGCCUCUGCCUCCCAAGUGCUGGGAUUAAAGACGUGCGCCCCACCACCAGGCUAGCAGGUGUUUUCUAAAGAAUUUUCAUCCAGAUUAGUCGGUCUUACUUUUUGGUGAAUCUAUGCUGCCUGCAUGCUUCUUUCCACGUGCAUGUAAAUCCUUUUCCAUUACAACACCAAAACUUUCCAACUUAAAACAGCUACUCAAAAGCAGGAAAAUUGUAGUAUUUCUCCUGAUUUCUGGUGUCCUGUGGCUCACUCAGCUGCAUCCACCGGGGAGGUCCAGAGUGACGGGUGUCUGAGCUUCUGCCUCCUGUUGGAUGAGAUACAGUGGUUCUUUUCCACGGCUCCUUUUCUCUCCAGAUGUCCUUUUGUCCACUGUUAAUCUAGCUGGAGCGCCUUUACAGGGUGGCUUGCUCUUAAAAGAAUGGAAACAAAGCUGCCAGGCGUCUUAAGGCCUUGACCUGGAUCUGGUGCACAUUCCCUCCUGCUGCAGGCUAAGUCAGGUGCAACAGGCCCUCAGCAUUGACUCACAAGGCCUAAGCUGCAGAGCUUCGUCACUGCCCCAACGCUGCCGUCGGUCACCUUGGGUUCCAGGGAGAAGGGAGCCUUUGAAGGCAGACUCCACACACACGCACGCGCACACACACACACACACCAGGUCAGAUGAGGGCAAUGCCACAUCCGUUGCAGACAUAACAAUUAACAACAACAAAAGAGCAGAUCAGCAGCUUGUCAACCGCCUUGCUGGACUGGAGCUGAGACGGUGAUGGACAGGCCACUCCUGACCAGGACUCUUAGUUCUGCGUAUAUCUUCCUGCUUCAGGUCAGCUCUGCCUAGAGCUAGGCUUGGAUCCGUGUCCUGGAGAUGCACUUGGAGUUACUGGCUCCCUUUGUGUGUUCCUUCUCCCUGAGAAUGAUGGAGUCUCCUUUCCCGAGUGGUUACAUGGGGUUGAGUGAGCAAGGCUGACUCCUCAGGGCCACAGGAGCUGAGGCUCACAGCUUGGAUGAGCACACCGGGGCAUCUGCUGUUAGUAACAGGUAACCCUAAGUGAAUGGCAAAGAUUGAAUGGCCUCAUGCAGAUUUUGGGAUCACUUCUAUUAUAGGGAUCUUUUUCUUUUCGUUCUACUUUGGCCAAAAAUCACUGCCUUCUAUCUUUUGAUGAAGCAGAGAAACAAAUGUUUGUACUUCAUGAUCUCUAGAGACUGACUCUCACUAAGUGCUCUAACUUCCAGCAUCGCCCUUGCUGUUCCAGGUCAGUAAGGAGGUGCUUUUGAGCUGCUUGGACACCUGCCAUUUGCCCUGAAAUACUGUCUUUGAAGGCUCUUUUGCUCUGGGGCUCUUUUGAACUAUUUGAGUAUCUGCUGUUUGUCUAACAAGCCUUGUCUCUGGGCUCUUUUGAUCAAAUCAGGGUUCAUUUGAAUGAUCUGAGCUAAGACCAGGGAAGCUUGGAUCUGUAGUUUUCUAUAGAAUGCAGCAAGGAAGGAAUUCACGGUACUCAGAAACCUGGGCAGGUGGGAGCGCUGCUGUAAUUUACACAAAGCAGGAAGUCCGCACCGUGGCAGUGCCCUCUGGGGAAUGAGCGUCCUUUGUUUCUUGUUUUAUGUGUAUGGAUGUUUUUGUCUGCAUGUACAGCUGUCUACACAACACAGGCAGUCAUCUGGUCUAUGGCUGUAGGGUCGUGGAUGGUUGUGAGCCACCAUGUGGGUGCUGGGAAUGAACUCCGGGCCUGGCUGUUGGUCACCGAGCCACCAUUCUGGCUCUCUUUGUGUUGUUUUGUUUUGGGGGGAUUGAUACAAGGUUUCUCUGUGUAGACUUGGCUAUUCUGGACUCUCUUUGUAGACCAGGCUGGCCUCCAACUCACAGAGCUCCACCUGCCUCUGCCUCCCUGAGUGCUGGGAUCACAGGCCUGCGCCACUGAGCCCGGCUACACUGAGCCCAGCUACACUGUGGUUUUUGUCAUUUUAUGUAUUGGGCUGUUGGUCUCUGUAUGGUGCUUGUUGUGAAGUUUGAAAUUCUGAUGACCGGCGACAGUCUCAUGGGGGAUUUAUGUAAGAAUUUACCCCGUUUCUGGGUUGUUAACUACAGCAGCUUAUAUUGGUGGUGCAUGUAAGCUGGCUGGCUACACCUCGAGCUACCCCACACCCCUCAGGGCUGGGGCAAAGGACCUUGUCAACAUCCACUCACAUAAAAACGAAUGAAAUAGAUAUUUAAAAAAGGUUUUUUAUAACCAGCCAUGGUGACACACAGGCAGGUGGCUCUCUAUGAGUUCAAGGCCAGCCUGGUCUGCAAAUCAGUUUCCAGGAGAGCCAGGGCUGUUGCAUAGAGAAACCCUGUCAUAGGGUUGGAGGGGGUUGCUUUGUUUUUUGUUUUCUUUUAAAGACCAUUAACUGACAUUCCAGAAAGGAAAAAAAAAAAAAAAAAAAAGCCAUGCCAGGUUGCGGAAUGUCCUGUGUUACGGUAUUUGCCUAGAAUGUGAGGUCGUAAAUUCAAAGCAGCACUGCUCAAAAAACAAAAACCAACAACAACUAAAACAUUCUACAAGGCUGACUGGUUUAGAACUUGAGUGGUCAGGAUAGAGAGAUGGCUCAGAGGUUAAGAGCACUGGCUGCUCUUCCAAAGGUCCUGAAUUCAAUUCCCAGCAAUCACAUGGUGGCUCAUAACCAUCUAUAGUGAGAUCUGGUGCCCUCUUCUGGUGUGUAGGCGUACAUGCAGGCAGAACAUUGUAUACAGAAUUUAUAUAUAACUUGAGUGGUUAUCAGGAGCUGCAGUGUUGAGGCAUUUAGACUCCCUUAGGAAUGGGCAGACAGGCCUCCACCAAUCUGGCGGUAGUGGGACUCUCCUGCUUUGCUGUGACACCCCCAUCAACUACCCAGCAACGCUUUGGAAGUGUGGGAAUUAGCUUCUUUUUCUUGCUCGUGUCACUAUGAAAUUGUCAUCAUAUUGGAACAUGGUACUUGAGGCAAUGUGGUCAUUGCAUUCCUGUGCAGUACUCACUCACAUUUGGCUCUAGAGUAAACGAUCUUUUACUCCCUUUGCAGUGGGAGCCCCAUUGUGUGUGUGUGUGUGUGUGUGUGUGUGUGUGUUAACAACACACUAAUGUAAAGCCAGAAUGUCAUGCUCUGUAUCUAAAGCAACUAGGUUUUCUUUUUUCAUUUUCUUUUCUUUUUUCAUUUGUUUGUUUGUUUGUUUUUCCAGGAAGACCAGGCUGGCCUGGAGCCCAGAGAUCCACCUGCCUCUGCCUACCGAGUGCUGGGAUUAAAGUUUAUCACCAGGCCAAGAAAGCUAAAAAGACAGAUUAGCAGGUGCCUGGGAUCCACAGACCACGGAGUGUUCAUACCCACGAGAGGAACAGUUAUUUAGAAGCCACUUUGUUACAAACUGUUUGCACUUCGCUGGGUCCCGCAAGGCUGGAGGCGCAGAGAUAAGCCCUUGUCUUAAACCUGCAGUCACGUUGGAUUCCGGAAGAGGCCCGCGUUAGCCCCUCCCCCUCUUUAUCACACAGAUGGGGAAGGUUGCCUAGAAGAGCCAAGCUGCCCGCUGGAGCAGAAAUAAUCACCUUGUGGAAACUAGUUCAGAUUAGCAGUUUAUCAACCACCUUCCUCCUGCGCAGGAGCUAAGGCGAUGAGUGGGACCACACCUUCACCAAGGCUUCGAAGCUCUCAUGCCUUUCGCUCACCAGUUCUUCCACCAUUGGAACGGAAAGUUUGUUCCUUCUUCCCGGUGCAUCAGUUAAGUCUCUCUUCUCUGCUUUUCACCGCCGUCUGUCUAUUUGGUUGGCAUAGCGGGACAGGUAGGGAAGCCCAGCUUGGUGGUGCUGCUGAAGCGGGGGCUCCCCUAAAGUCUCAAACAAAGAAGUCAUUUGAUUUCGUUUUGACAGAGUCUCAAUAUGUACCACUGGCUGUCCUGGAACUUGCUGUAUAGACCAGGCUGGCCUUGAACUCACAGACUCCUCGCUUCUGCCUGCAGAGCCCAGGGACUAAAGGCGUGCUCCACGAUGUCCCAAAGCUUUGGGUUCAAAGAGAGUGAUAGAUUCCGCCUUUCUCUUUUGCUUGUUUUCUUUAUGAGAUACAAUUUUUACUAUUUUCUAAUUUAUUACUAUUGUGGGUGUACGUGCUGUGUGUGUGUGGAGCUGGUUUUCUCCCUCCACCUUUACAUAGGUCAUCAGGCUUGCAGGCGAGGGCCUUCACCCACUGAGACACCUUGCCACCUCACCAGCCUCCUGCACCAACCUGUUUCUUCUGUUUUCAAAGAUCGAUUUUGUCUUAUGUAUGUGAAAAAUGUAUAUGCUUGGUCACCACGGAGGCCAAAAAAGGGCACGAGGCCCCUCGCACAGAAAUUACAGAUAGUUGUAAACCACUGUAUGGGUGAUGAGAGUCAAACCUGCUUCCUCUGCAAGAGCAACUCGCACACAAACACGAACACACACAGAUGAAAAUUUAAAAACAAAACCCUCCUCUUAUUCAACCCCACUUGUUCAGUUUGUACUAUUUCCCUAUACCAUGGGCCGAGGGCACACGACCAUUUGGGAACAUUCCAAGUCAAAAUUAUAGUUUCAACCAGCAGCCCUUCACCCCCCAAACCACAGCCAAGAUCUGUGCCCGAGGCAAGUUACAAGAUUAUACUAUGGUCUUUUUCCCUGUUUUUCUGUUGCGUUUUACUCUGUAACCUGUGAGCAUUCAGGUGUGUGUGUGUGUGUGUGUGUGUGUGUGUAAGACAGGGUCUCAUGGGACCAGAAAGAUUGCUUAGUGAUUAAAAGGAAUUCUUGCUGUUGCAGAGGCUCUGAGUCUGGUUCUCAGCACCUCCAAAGCUGUUCACAACCGCCUGCGUCCGCUGUCCCGGGGACCUGACCUCUGCAGGCUCCUGUAUGCACACGGUGCACACAUAUGCACGCAGGUUCUCUCUGUCUCUCUCUCUCUCUCUCUCACACACACACACACACAAUGGAAGUUUUGGAGUUUUGGUUACUUUAAAAGCUGAGUUAUGAGCCGGACGUGGCGGUAUAUGUCUGUAAUCCUAGCACUUGGGGAGGCAGAGGCAGGGGAAUUGCUGUGAGGCCAGCCUGGUCUACAAAGUGAGUCCAGGAUAGCUAAGGCUACACAGAGAAACUCUGUCUCAAAAAACAAACAAAAACAACAAGAGCCAGAAAACUGAAUUUUGCAAACAGGUUUUUGUUUUAAUCCCAAGGGUGGGAUAUGGGGUUGCUUUUAGCUUGUCCACAGCUGAUGACUGCCUUCAAGGGCUGGGAGACUGGGGUCGUUUUGUCAGCUGUAGAGAGUUUAAUUCUGAGGACUUGGAGAGGGUAUCGCUACAAGAGCCCAGAGAGAGGAGGGGAGAGGGCUUUGAAGAGAUGGAGGAGGAAGAAGGCCACUUGUUCCUCUUGCGGUGUUUGCCCUUGGCUAUUGCCAGACUGCUAGAUAUCCUGCUGACUGAGAUUAGUAGUUUCUCAAAGAACACAGUGACCCUAACCAGCUGGAACUAAGUCUAAAGAGGUCUGCAUCCCCUUUCCCUUCUACCCUUCUUUCUCUCCUACCUAGGGUUGGAAGGGAGGUAGGGUCAGAAGGGAGGUAGAGGCGUAAAUAACCCCAAAUAAAGUAGAGUUUAAAAACUAAUGCCUACACAUACAUACACACACACAUCAAAUGCAAAUAAGAGGCAGGGGAUCUCUGUGAGUCUGAGGCCAGCCUGGGCUGCAAAGAGAAUUCCAGCAAAGCCAAGGCUACACAGAGAAACCCUGUUUCAAAAAAAACAAAACAAAAAACAAAGAAAAGACAGGAUCUCAUUAUAUAGCCUAGGCUGGCCUGAAACUCACAGAGACCCACCUGUCUGAGUCCAGAGAGCUGGGAUUAAAGGCCUGCACCACCAUGCCUCAAAUUUCUUAGCUUAGUUUUUCAGACAGGGGCUCUUACUGAGCCAGGACUUCAUUGAUUCAACUAGACAGACCAUCAAGCAAGCCCCAACGAUCCAGGGAGAUCACAGGAAUGUGCCAUGUCUUAAGGGUUGUUUGUUUGGUUUUCCAAGACAGGGCUUCUCUGUGUAGCCUUGGCUGAACUCGCUCUGUAGCCCAGGCUGGCCUCGAACUCAGAGAUCCGCCUGCCUCUGCCUCCCCGAGUGCUGGGACUACAGGCCUGCACCACCACCGCCCUGGCAUCUCUUGUAAAGGAAAACAUUUACUCGGUUGGCCUCCGUUUCAGAGGUCUCUGUGAGUUCAAGGCCAUCCCGCUCUAUAUAUUGAGUUCCAGGACAGCCAGGGCUAUAGAGUGAGACACUGUGUGUCUCCUACACACACGCACACAUACAAGUCAUGGACAUGAAAUAGAUGCAAUUUUUAAAUUUUGAAAAUAAAACAAAAAUAAAGAAUAAUGCCCUAUUAUCUACUCACCCAAUUCCUGGUGGUCACUGUUGUGUUAUUUACUCUGAAUUUGAUUGUUACUACAUUUUGUUCUUCCACCCUAGUGGGUUCUCUCUAUUUGUGACUUUUGCGAAUAUGAACAUGUAUAUAUAAUAUUUGUAUGUACAUGCAUACAUGUAUAUGAACAUGUAAUAUACAUAUAUAUACAUAUAUA